rnacentral:tRNA from 1 species
GCCUCUGUAGCUGAGUUGGUUAGAGCGCUGCACCGGAAUCGCGGGCCGUAGGUUCGAUUCCUACCAGAGGAC